UACGUAGGGAGCGAGCGUUGUCCGGAUUCAUUGGGCGUAAAGAGCUCGUAGGCGGCUUGAUAAGUCGGAUGUGAAACCUCCAGGCUCAACCUGGAGUCGCCAUCCGAUACUGUCAUGGCUAGAGUCCGGUAGGGGCCCACGGAAUUCCUGGUGUAGCGGUGAAAUGCGCAGAGUAUCAGGAGGAACACCGGUGGCGAAGGCGGUGGGCUGGGCCGGCACUGACGCUGAGGAGCGAAAGCGUGGGGAGCGAACAGG
rnacentral:rRNA from 1 species